CCUACGGGUGGCAGCAGUGAGGAAUAUUGGUCAAUGGACGAGAGUCUGAACCAGCCAUGUAGCGUGCAGGAUGACUGCUCUAUGAGUUGUAAACUUCUUUUAUAUGGUAAUAACAUGUUAUACGUGUGGGAUUUUGUAUGUAUCAUAUGAAUACGGAUCGGCUAACUCCGUGCCAGCAGCCGCGGUAAUAAGGAGGAUGCGAGCGUUAUCCGGAUUUAUUGGGUUUAAAGGGUGCGUAGGUGGAUUGUUAAGUCAGAUGUGAAAGUUUGCGGCUCAACCGUGGAAUUGCAGUUGAUACUGGCAGGCUAGAGAACAGUAGAGGUAGGCGGAA
rnacentral:rRNA from 1 species